ACGUCCUACGGGAGGCAGCAGGUGGGAAUAUUGCACGAAUGGGCGCAAGCCUGAUGCAGCCAUGCCGCGUGUGUGAAGAAGGCCUUCGGGUUGAUAAAGCACUUUUCAGUCGUGAGGAAGGUAGUGUAGUUAAUAGCUGCAUUAUUUGACGUUAGCGACAGAAGAAGCACCGGCUAACUCCGUGCCAGCAGCCGCGGUAAUACGGAGGGUGCGAGCGUUAAUCGGAAUUACUGGGCGUAAAGCGCAUGCAGGUGGUUUGUUAAGUCAGAUGUGAAAGCCC
rnacentral:rRNA from 1 species